AUGUAGUACCAGGCUAGCUGUCUCUCUCCCUGGCUGUUUCAUAAAUAUAUCAUUAUUGUGUCUCUUUAACAGGUGGGAAGGUGCGAGUACGUCUACUGGACUGGCUCAGACACGAUCUCUGCACAGACGCUGAUGCAGAGUUUGGAUGGACAGAGGAUGAAGUGGCAGAUCUCCAUGACAACACAACAAUUAUCAUCGCCGCUGACGUGUGCUACGAUGACGACCUGACAGACGCGCUGUUCCGAACUCUGUACAGAAUCUGUAACAACCUCCGUCUCCCCUGUACUACAUACCUGUCUAUAGAGAAGAGGCUGAACUUCACUCUGAGACACAUGGACAUAUCCUGCGAGGCCUACGACCAUUUCCGCCGCUGUCUGUGUGAGAUGCAGGAGCUGAGGGACGGACGGACAUGUUUCACAGUGGAGCAGGUCACACCCUCUUUCCCACAGUGCCUGCUGUAUGAGCGCAUAGAGCAACUGGAGUUGUGGAAAGUGACAGCGGUGCCUGUCUAACCCUCUGAGGAGCUGACCUGCUCGUAGACCUGCUCCUUGACCUGCUCCUUGACCUGCUCCUAGACCUGCUCCUUGACCUGCUCCUAGACCUGCUCCUUGACCUGCUCCUAGACCUGCUCCUUGACCUGCUCCUAGACCUGCUCCUUGACCUGCUCCUUGACCUGCUCCUAGACCUGCUCCUAGACCUGCUCCUAGACCUGCUCCUUGACCUGCUCCUUGACCUGCUCCUUGACCUGCUCCUAGACCUGCUCCUAGACCUGCUCCUAGACCUGCUCCUUGACCUGCUCCUUGACCUGCUCCUAGACCUGCUCCUUGACCUGCUCCUAGACCUGAGACAUGGCGUUUUCUGAUCUUAGAUCUGCUCCUAGACCUGAGACAUGGAGUUUUCUGAUCUUAGACCUGCUCCUAGACCUGCUCCUAGACCUGCUCCUUGACCUGAGACAUGGAGUUUUCUGAUCUUAGACCUGCUCCUUGACCUGAGACAUGGAGUUUUCUGAUCUUAGACCUGCUCCUUGACCUGCUCCUUGACCUGAGACAUGGAGUUUUCUGAUCUUAGACCUGCUCCUUGACCUGCUCCUUGACCUGAGACAUGGAGUUUUCUGAUCUUAGACCUGCUCCUUGACCUGCUCCUUGACCUGAGACAUGGAGUUUUCUGAUCUUAGACCUGCUCCUUGACCUGCUCCUUGACCUGAGACAUGGAGUUUUCUGAUCUUAGACCUGCUCCUAGACCUGCUCCUAGACCUGCUCCUUGACCUGAGACAUGGAGUUUUCUGAUCUUAGACCUAGUGUUUUCUGAACCUCUUGUGGUCAGUGUUGAGAAGGUAUUGAUAAAAAUAUAUAGAUUAUUUAGUGAACUAAUAGCAGUCAUUUCAAUCAGGGCAGCUGGACAGCAGUGAACAAAGACACUAGGAAUGAUCUCUGUAAAUAAACUCACUUGUUAAUAAAUAAGAUGUUUUUAAGCUCA